GUGAAGUUGGCUCAGUGGUAGAGCACUUGCCUUGCAUGCAUAAGGCCCUGGGUUCGAUUCCUCAGCACCACA
rnacentral:tRNA from 1 species